rnacentral:rRNA from 1 species
UACAGAGGUGCCAAGCGUUAUGCGGAAUCACUGGGCUUAAAGCGCGUGUAGGUGGGUCGUUAAGUGUCCGCGUGAAAUCCCACGGCUCAACCGUGGAAGUGCCGGGCAUACUGGCGAUCUUGAGGCAUUCAGGGGCGAGCGGAACAAAUGGUGGAGCGGUGAAAUGCGUAGAUAUCAUUUGGAACGCCAAUGGUGAAAACAGCUCGCUGGGAAUGAUCUGACACUGAGACGCGAAAGCCAGGGGAGCGAACGGG